ACUAUAUUCAACUCAAAUUUGUUGAAUUUGUUCAUUCCAUUGUUGCUACUGCAUGGUAAAAUUUUAAAUGAUUGUGUUACGAGGAAAAUUGUUUGGACCGUAAGUUUGCAUUCCUAUUUGACUCCAUGCAAAAUAACAAAGGAAUAUCGGUUAGCUUGCCAGAACAUAAGGACUUCAAUCCUUCAAGAUCUUGAUUUUGACUAGAGGAGUAUAAUAUCUAAGUUAAGAUUGAAUUGGAAUCUUUGUCUACGUUCUU
rnacentral:lncRNA from 1 species